CUGAACUCUAUAAGGAUUGGCCUCUUUUCUGCCCUGGCUUCACCUGCUUCUCGGCGCCGUCAAUGAGUCUGCUUUCAGUGUUGGUGAGAACAAGCAUUAAAGCUCAGCCUCUCAGGAGAGGCCAUUGCGCAGUUUGCUCUCCAACAAGCUUUCCAACGGGAAGAAACCGCGCAGGAACGUCAACGGGAGCGUGAGGAACGAGAACGGGACGGGAAUUUUAACUUUGAGUUGGGAACACGUCCUACCCAAUGUCCCGAUGCUGGCGUGCGAGGACCGAGGCUUCCAGCUUACCAAGGAGAGGACAUCGCCGCCUACCUGACCAGAUUUGAGCGUAUUGCCACGCUCUUAAUAGACAAGGAGUCUCGCUGUUAGACUUGGGAGUCUGCUGACAGAGUGGCGGUCGAUUUGGUUGGACCACUGUCUCCCCCAUCCUCAGAAGGCCACAGGUACAUCCUCAUUUUAAUCGACUACGCCACUGGAUUGCCAGAAGCCGUGCCACUGAAGGAAAUAGACUCCAUCUCCGUUGCUGAGGCCUUGCUCUCCAUCUUCGCUAGAGUCGGUAUACCACGGGAAAUUUUCACUGGUCAAGAUACCCAGCGAUACGACCGGUUUCCCCGCCUUCAAGCUUCUCUAGCUAUGUGGUAGAGCUACAGACGCUAGUAGACCGCCCAGGUCGCCGCCAACAAUGCAGACAUUAGUGCCACGAAAUAUGAGACCUACUUUGACAGAGUCAAGAUAGACAGUUUCAACCUGGCGAUGAGGUCCACCUUCCCAGCGACUCCAGCAAGCUUCUUGCAACUUGCAAAGGACCUUCUGGUUUUAGAGCAACGAGGUAAGGGUGAUUACCUAAUUGAUUGUCCCCAAGGUCCGAGAUUGUACCACGUCAACCUCUUAAAACGUUAACAUCCGUCAUGCUAGUGCCAGCUUUGCCGAAGUUUUAGACGAAGUGUCAACACCGGCAACAUCCGUCAUGCUAGUGCCAGCUUUGCCGAAGUCUUAGACGAAAUGUCAACACCUGAAGAGACCGAAGAGUAUGUCCCGGAGAACAACCACCUUAUUUGUGAAGACGACCCCGAGGACGAGUGCUAUUCUUUGCCAGUGACACCUGAUGGCUGUUCUGACAAGGAUAGACGAUCCAGGAUCAACCCAAACUUAAUUUCACAAGUUGACAUCGAGUAUCUCCUGUCAGAGUUUGACAACGUUUUCUCUGAUGUUCCUGGGUGUAUUUCCUCUGAACAUAUUGUCUUAACUACCACUGGCUGCAUUAGCACAAAGAUUUACUGUCCCUGUCCAUCUAAAAUGUUUCUUUGAACAGGAAGUCUCUCCUUUUGAGUUUGAA
rnacentral:misc_RNA from 1 species